rnacentral:rRNA from 1 species
UUGGUGAGGUAAUGGCUCACCAAGGCGACGACGGGUAGCCGGCCUGAGAGGGCGACCGGCCACACUGGGACUGAGACACGGCCCAGACUCCUACGGGAGGCAGCAGUGGGGAAUAUUGCACAAUGGGCGAAAGCCUGAUGCAGCGACGCCGCGUGAGGGAUGACGGCCUUCGGGUUGUAAACCUCUUUCAGCAGGGAAGAAGCGAAAGUGACGGUACCUGCAGAAGAAGCGCCGGCUAACUACGUGCCAGCAGCCGCGGUAAUACGUAGGGCGCAAGCGUUGUCCGGAAUUAUUGGGCGUAAAGAGCUCGUAGGCGGCUUGUCACGUCGGGUGUGAAAGCCCGGGGCUUAACCCCGGGUCUGCAUUCGAUACGGGCUAGCUAGAGUGUGGUAGGGGAGAUCGGAAUUCCUGGUGUAGCGGUGAAAUGCGCAGAUAUCAGGAGGAACACCGGUGGCGAAGGCGGAUCUCUGGGCCAUUACUGACGCUGAGGAGCGAAAGCGUGGGGAGCGAACAGGAUUAGAUACCCUGGUAGUCCACGCCGUAAACGGUGGGAACUAGGUGUUGGCGACAUUCCACGUCGUCGGUGCCGCAGCUAACGCAUUAAGUUCCCCGCCUGGGGAGUACGG